GUGUUCAGUUUGACAGCACAUAUCCUGACAUUGGAAGGAUGCAGAGAAGAUUAGCAUGGCCCCUGCACAUGGAUGACAUGCAAAUUUAUAAAGCACAUCACAAUGAA